rnacentral:rRNA from 1 species
CAUUGGGACUGAGACACGGCCCAGACUCCUACGGGAGGCAGCAGUGGGGAAUAUUGCACAAUGGGGGAAACCCUGACGCAGCGACGCCGCGUGAAGGAAGAAGUAUCUCGGUAUGUAAACUUCUAUCAGCAGGGAAGAAAAUGACGGUACCUGACUAAGAAGCCCCGGCUAACUACGUGCCAGCAGCCGCGGUAAUACGUAGGGGGCAAGCGUUAUCCGGAUUUACUGGGUGUAAAGGGAGCGUAGACGGAAGAGCAAGUCUGAUGUGAAAGGCUGGGGCUUAACCCCAGGACUGCAUUGGAAACUGUUUUUCUUGAGUGCCGGAGAGGUAAGCGGAAUUCCUAGUGUAGCGGUGAAAUGCGUAGAUAUUAGGAGGAACACCAGUGGCGAAGGCGGCUUACUGGACGGUAACUGACGUUGAGGCUUGAAAGCGUGGGGAGCAAACAGGAUUACAUACCCUGGUAGUCCACGCCGUA